UGGGGAAUAUUGGACAAUGGGCGAAAGCCUGAUCCAGCCAUGCCGCGUGUGUGAAGAAGGUCUUCGGAUUGUAAAGCACUUUAAGUUGGGAGGAAGGGCAUUAACCUAAUACGUUAGUGUUUUGACGUUACCGACAGAAUAAGCACCGGCUAACUCUGUGCCAGCAGCCGCGGUAAUACAGAGGGGGCAAGCGUUAAUCGGAAUUACUGGGCGUAAAGCGCGCGUAGGUGGUUUGUUAAGUUGGAUGUGAAAUCCCCGGGCUCAACCUGGGAACUGCAUUCAAAACUGACUGACUAGAGUAUGGUAGAGGGUGGUGGAAUUUCCUGUGUAGCGGUGAAAUGCGUAGAUAUAGGAAGGAACACCAGUGGCGAAGGCGACCCCCUGGACAAAGACUGACGCUCAGGUGCGAAAGCGUGGGGAGCAAACA
rnacentral:rRNA from 1 species